rnacentral:rRNA from 1 species
CAAUAGCGUAUAUUAAAGUUGUUGCAGUUAAAAAGCUCGUAGUUGGAUUUCUGGUCGGAAGCUCCUGUCCUCUGAUGAGCGUACAAGUGCGUCCUACCAUCCUUCUGUUAACCUUUAAGGCUUUCGCGGCUUUCUAGGGGCUCAGAUAUUUUACCUUGAGAAAAUUAGAGUGUUUCAGGCAGGCUAGCGCCGGAAUACAUUAGCAUGGAAUAAUGGAAUAGGACUUUUGCCUCUUCUGUUGGUCAUGAGGCUCGAGUAAUGAUUAAUAGGGAUAGUUGGGGGCAUUAGUACUUAACUGUCAGAGGUGAAAUUCUCGGAUUUGUUAAAGACUAACUUAUGCGAAAGUAUUUGCCAAGGAUGUUUUCAUUAA